GAAGGUUUGACCCUCAACAACCAAAAAUUUAUUAAACAAAAGAAAUUCAAACCAAACACAAUAAUUUAAAACAUAAACAACAACCAUCACUUCAAAAUGUUAAAAUGUGCGUGGGGGACAAAACACCCCAAAAAGUACAUAACCAAAAUACCAAAUAUCUGAAAAUACAAGAAAAUAAAACAUAACAUAAAAAAAAACUUAGUCCUCAUAGGACUCAGAACCCUCUUCACUACCGGCCUCAAAACCGGAACCAUCAUCAUCA
rnacentral:lncRNA from 1 species